rnacentral:rRNA from 1 species
UGGGGAAUCUUCCGCAAUGGACGAAAGUCUGACGGAGCAACGCCGCGUGAGUGAAGACGGCCUUCGGGUUGUAAAGCUCUGUGAUCCGGGACGAAAGAGCCUGAGGUAAAUAGCCUAAGGAAGUGACGGUACCGGAAAAGCAAGCCACGGCUAACUACGUGCCAGCCGCCGCGGUAAUACGUAGGUGGCAAGCGUUGUCCGGAAUUAUUGGGCGUAAAGCGCGCGCAGGCGGCUUACUAAGUCCAUCUUAAAAGUGCGGGGGUUAACCCCGUGAUGGGAUGGAAACUGGAAAGCUGGAGUAUCGGAGAGGAAAGUGGAAUUCCUAGUGUAGCGGUGAAAUGCGUAGAGAUUAGGAAGAACACCGGUGGCGAAGGCGACUUUCUGGAAGAAAUCUGACGCUGAGGCGCGAAAGCGUGGGGAGCAAACAGG